UACAGAGGUCUCAAGCGUUGUUCGGAUUCAUUGGGCGUAAAGGGUGCGUAGGCGGCGCGGUAAGUCGGGUGUGAAAUCUCGGAGCUUAACUCCGAAACUGCAUUCGAUACUGCCGUGCUUGAGGACUGGAGAGGGGACUGGAAUUCCUGGUGUAGCGGUGAAAUGCGCAGAUAUCAGGAAGAACACCCGUGGCGAAGGCGGCUCUCUGGGACGGUACUGACGCUGAGACGCGAAAGCGUGGGGAGCGAACCGG
rnacentral:rRNA from 1 species